rnacentral:rRNA from 1 species
AUUGAACGCUGGCGGCAGGCCUAACACAUGCAAGUCGAGCGGAUGAAGGGAGCUUGCUCCUGGAUUCAGCGGCGGACGGGUGAGUAAUGCCUAGGAAUCUGCCUGGUAGUGGGGGAUAGCGUCCGGAAACGGGCGCUAAUACCGCAUACGUCCUGAGGGAGAAAGUGGGGGAUCUUCGGACCUCACGCUAUCAGAUGAGCCUAGGUCGGAUUAGCUAGUUGGUGGGGUAAAGGCCUACCAAGGCGACGAUCCGUAACUGGUCUGAGAGGAUGAUCAGUCACACUGGAACUGAGACACGGUCCAGACUCCUACGGGAGGCAGCAGUGGGGAAUAUUGGACAAAGGGCGAAAGCCUGAUCCAGCCAUGCCGCGUGUGUGAAGAAGGUCUUCGGAUUGUAAAGCACUUUAAGUUGGGAGGAAGGGCAGUAAGUUAAUACCUUGCUGUUUUGACGUUACCAACAGAAUAAGCACCGGCUAACUUCGUG